rnacentral:rRNA from 1 species
ACGCUAGCGGCGCGCUUAUGCAUGCAAGUCGAGCGAUGAGGUCUCUUUCGGGGGACACAUCAGCGGCAGACGGGUGAGUAACACGUAGGUAACCUACCCCAGAGACAGGGAUAACCCUAGGAAACGAGGGCUAAUACCGGAUGACCUCCGGAAGGAGGAAAGCUCAGGCGCUCUGGGAUGGGCUUGCGGCCCAUCAGCUAGUUGGUAGGGUAAAGGCCUACCAAUGCGAAGACGGGUAGGGGGUGUGAGAGCACGGNCCCCCACAAUGGGACUGAAACACGGNCCAUACUCCUACGGGAGGCAGCAGCAGGGAAUAUUGCACCAAUAGGCGAAAGCCUGAUGCAGCGACGCCGCGUGAGUGAAGAAGGCCUUCGGGUCGUAAAGCUCUUUUGUAGGGGAAGAGGAAGGACGGUACCCUAAGAAGAAGCGUCGGCUAACUACGUGCCAGCAGCCGCGGUAAGACGUAGGACGCGAGCGUUAUCCGGAAUUACUGGGCGUAAAGGGCCAGCAGGCGGCUUGGUAAGUUGUGCGUGAAAGCCUCGUGCUCAACGCGAGGAAGCCGGACAAUACUGUCAAGCUAGAGGGCAUCAGAGGGGAGUGGAAUUCCCGGAGUAGCGGUAAAAUGCGCAGAUAUCGGGAGGAACACCGAUGGCGAAGGCAGCUCCCUGGGAUGCACCUGACGCUAAGAGGCGAAAGCUACGGGAGCGAACAGGAUUAGAGACCCUGGUAGUCCUAGCUGUAAACGCUGGGUGCUAGGUGUGGGACGUAGAAGUUCCGUGCCGGAGCAAACGCGAUAAGCACCCCG